rnacentral:rRNA from 1 species
GUCUUCCCGGCCCUGUUCUUGGUCCCGAUCAAGAAAUGUUAGCGUUGUCGGUUCUCGGCCUUUCAUCCUUUCCAGGGAGCACGCAUUUCUGUUCAAUUGGAGAUGAUGUUGCUAUCUGGAUCGUUUACUUUGAAAAAAUUAGAGUGUUUAAAGCAGGCUUACGCCGUGAAUACAUUAGCAUGGAAUAAUAAUAUAGGACUUUGGUUCUAUUUUGUUGGUUUCUAGAACAAAAGUAAUGAUUGAAAGGGAUAGUUGGGGGUGCUAGUAUUCAGUGGCCAGAGGUGAAAUUCUUGGAUUCACUGAAGACUAACUACUGCGAAAGCAUU